CCUACGGGUGGCAGCAGUGAGGAAUAUUGGUCAAUGGACGGAAGGCUGAACCAGCCAAGCCGCGUGAAGGACGAAGGUGCCAAGCAUUGUAAACUUCUUUUGUCAAGGGACAAACUCAGGGACGCGUGCCUGACUGAGGGUACUUGAAGAAAAAGCAUCGGCUAACUCCGUGCCAGCAGCCGCGGUAAUACGGAGGAUGCGAGCGUUAUCCGGAUUUAUUGGGUUUAAAGGGUGCGUAGGCGGGCUGUUAAGUCAGCGGUAAAAGCCCGGGGCUCAACCCCGGCGAGCCGUUGAAACUGGCAGUCUUGAGUAGGCGAGAGGUAUGCGGAAUGCGCGGUGUAGCGGUGAAAUGCUUAGAUAUCGCGCAGAACUCCGAUUGCGAAGGCAGCAUACCG
rnacentral:rRNA from 1 species